rnacentral:lncRNA from 1 species
UAGUGCGUUCUUCGCCGCCGGCGGCCUAAAAUCAAAGGCGCGGGUUAAUCUCUCUGGUUGAGGCUGCAUUCAUUUCUGAAACUUGACACGUGGGAAGGGCUUACUCUCCUAGUGGCUCGGCUUGGUCUCGCUCCCUUCCCGUACUAUUCAAAACCACUAAAAAGAGCGAUUGAAAAUCUCGAUAACCUUUCUGAACGUCCGGGGCGAUUUGAAAAGGGGUAUAUCUUUCUUGUAGUGCCUUUCAUUC